rnacentral:rRNA from 1 species
UACAGAGGGGGCAAGCGUUGUUCGGAAUUACUGGGCGUAAAGGGCGCGUAGGCGGCCCGCUAAGUCGAACGUGAAAUCCCCGGGCUCAACUCGGGAACUGCGUCCGAUACUGGCGGGCUUGAAUCCGGGAGAGGGAUGCGGAAUUCCAGGUGUAGCGGUGAAAUGCGUAGAUAUCUGGAGGAACACCGGUGGCGAAGGCGGCAUCCUGGACCGGCAUUGACGCUGAGGCGCGAAAGCCAGGGGAGCAAACGGG